CUACGGGAGGCAGCAGGCGCGAAACCUCUACAAUGCACGCAAGUGUGAUAGGGGAAUCCCAAGUGCUUAUGCUCUGCAUAGGCUUUUGCCAUGAGUAAAAAUCAUGGCGAAUAAGUGGGGGGAAAGACUGGUGCCAGCCGCCGCGGUAACACCAGCGCCACAAGUGGCAGCCACAUUUAUUGGGCCUAAAGCGUCCGUAGCCGGUUCAGUAAAUCUUUUGUGAAAUUGUCAGGCUUAACCUGACAACGUGCAGAAGACACUGCUGAACUUGAGACCGGCAGGGGUUGGAAGUAUUCCAGGGGGAGCGGUAAAAUGCUAUAAUCCCUGGCAGACUACCUAUGGCGAAGGCAUCCAACCAGGACGGAUCUGACGGUGAGGGACGAAAGCUAGGGGAGCAAAACGGAUUAGAUACCCCAGUAGUC
rnacentral:rRNA from 1 species